GUACACACACACACACACACACACACACACACACACAGCAGUGCAGACACAGCAGCGGUGUGUUAUAUAUAUAUAUAUAUAUGUGUGUGUGUGUGACGUCGCAGGCGGUGUGUGUGUGUGUGUGUGUGUGUGUGUGUGUGUGUGAGAGAGAGAGAGAGAGAGAGAGAGAGAGCAGUUGAAAUAGGGUGAGCUGGAAUAGCGGGUCACUCUCAGUUGAAGGAUGAAGAGAGAGCGGGUGUGUUCUUCCCUUCGCGUGGACUGUGAGGGUCUGUGAGUCUCUGGACAUCUAUAACGCGCAAUUCACGCAGCAUUUCAGUCUCCGCGCAGCAACACGACAGUCACAGACAGUUACUGGAGAGGUCACUUUUGCUGAAAUUGAAGUCAUCAUGUUGCUGUGCUGUGUAUCUGUUAUUAUGACAGAUUUCAACAGCUCAAAUAGGCUGAUGCUGAUGGGCUGGUUGGGCAUUUGGGCUUUGUCCGUCCUGCUCGGAUCUUCCCUAUGGCUGGCUUAUGGAGUCCGAGCCAGUGCUGGAACCAGAACUACAGUAAAGGAGGUUCAAGAGGGACUUCAGGUAAUAGUACAUUUAAUUUUCUUUUGUUUGUGUUCUGGGAUUAUAUUUUCAUUUAAAGUCUUUUGAAAUUAUAUGAAGCUUUGUUUGAGGAACACACUGAAGUUUAAGUUCCUGAUAAUCUUUCUUUGAGGGUCUUGUC
ensembl:lncRNA